rnacentral:rRNA from 1 species
GACGAACGCUGGCGGCGUGCUUAACACAUGCAAGUCGAACGAAGAGCGAUGGGAGCUUGCUUCUAUCAAUCUUAGUGGCGAACGGGUGAGUAACGCGUAAUCAACCUGCCCUUCAGGGGGGGACAACAGUUGGAAACGACUGCUAAUACCGCAUACGAUCUGACCUCGGCAUCGAGGAUAGAUGAAAGGUGGCCUCUACAUGUAAGCUAUCACUGAAGGAGGGGAUUGCGUCUGAUUAGCUGGUUGGAGGGGUAACGGCCCACCAAGGCGAUGAUCAGUAGCCGGUCUGAGAGGAUGAACGGCCACAUUGGGACUGAGACACGGCCCAGACUCCUACGGGAGGCAGCAGUGGGGAAUCUUCCGCAAUGGACGAAAGUCUGACGGAGCAACGCCGCGUGAGUGAUGACGGCCUUCGGGUUGUAAAGCUCUGUUAAUCGGGACGAAAGGCCUUUUUGCGAAUAGUGAGAAGGAUUGACGGUACCGGAAUAGAAAGCCACGGCUAACUACGUG